rnacentral:rRNA from 1 species
AUACGACUCUCGGCAACGGAUAUCUCGGCUCUCGCAUCGAUGAAGAACGUAGCGAAAUGCGAUACUUGGUGCGAAUUGCAGAAUCCCGUGAACCAUCGAGUCUUUGAACGCAAGUUGCGCCCGAGGCCUUUAGGUCGAGGGC